rnacentral:misc_RNA from 1 species
GAUGAAGAACGCAGCGAAAUGCGAUAAGUAGUGUGAAUUGCAGAAUUCAGUGAAUCAUCGAAUCUUUGAACGCACAUUGCGCCCUUUGGUAUUCCAAAGGGCAUGCCUGUUCGAGCGUCAUUUGGACCCUCAAGCUUUGCUUGGUGUUGGGCGUCUUGUCUCUAGCUUUGCUGGAGACUCGCCUUAAAGUAAUUGGCAGCCGGCCUACUGGUUUCGGAGCGCAGCACAAGUCGCACUCUCUAUCAGCAAAGGUCUAGCAUCCAUUAAGCCUUUUUUUCAACUUUUGACCUCGGAUCAGGUAGGGAUACCCGCUGAACUUAAGCAUAUCAAUAAGCGGAGGA